GAACCGUCCAAACGUUUAUCCGGAAUCACUGGGCUUAAAGGGUACGUAGGCGGCCCGGAAAGUUGGGUGUGAAAUCCCUCGGCUCAACCGAGGAACUGCGCUCAAAACUUCCGGGCUUGAGGGAGACAGAGGUGAGCGGAACUUGCGGUGGAGCGGUGAAAUGCGUUGAUAUCGCAAGGAACACCAGUAGCGAAGGCGGCUCACUGGGUCUCUUCUGACGCUGAGGUACGAAAGCUAGGGGAGCGAACGGGAUUAGAUACCCCGGGUAGUCCUAGCUGUAAACGAUGAGCACUUGGUUGGAGGCUCCCUCCAUAGGCUUCCAGCCGAAGCGAAAGUGUUAAGUGCUCCGCCUGGGGAGUAUGGUCGCAAGGCUG
rnacentral:rRNA from 1 species